GACGUAGGAAGCAAGCGUUGUCCGGAAUUACUGGGCGUAAAGGGUGCGUAGGCGGGAAAUUAAGUUAAGUGUGAAAGCCUUGGGCUUAACCCAAGAAAUGCACUUGAUACUGGUUUUCUAGAGUGUAGGAGAGGUAAGUGGAAUUCCUAGUGUAGCGGUAAAAUGCGUAGAGAUUAGGAGGAACAUCAGAGGCGAAGGCGGCUUACUGGACUAUAACUGACGCUGAGGCUCGAAAGCGUGGGGAGCGAACAGG
rnacentral:rRNA from 1 species